rnacentral:lncRNA from 1 species
CAACUUAUUGUUGCUUUGGUUUGUCCCAUUUUAAUAGUUGGGAAUCUGACAUGUUAUCCAUGUGAUUACGGAUCACUUGAGAUAUUGUAGUUUGUUUAAUAAAAUGGGCUAAUAAAUAGUGCUUUCCACAACUGUCAGCUGCUUUCAAGUUUUGUAUUUUGUUUGGUGCAUUACUAUGUAAUAAUUGCAACAUUCUUUUGGUAAAUAGUCUUUUAGACAGAUCAUCACCUAAUAGCUUUCAUCUACUCCUAUUGUGAAGCAUGUAAAGCUCAAUUACUUUUAAGGAAUCCAGUUUUUAGGACAUUUAAUAUAUCAUGGAAUGGAAACUCCUCGGGUUGAAAUAAAAUGAUAGCUGUUGGUUUAACGUAUAAUAGAUGUGUUUUAGUAGAGACAAGGUAUAGUGAUUGAGGUUGCGAUAGACGUACUGCAGAAUGCUAAAACAUACGAAGUCUGAGUUUCAAAUUUGAAAUUGUUGUGGUUUGGCGACUUUCUUCAGUGGUCGGUCAGGAACUCUAAUUCUUUGAACUGAAGCUAUCUUGAUGAGUUGGUUGUCCUUUCUGUAAGAGUCAAUAUAAAAAAAGCAAUAAACAUUUUCUCCGUUUCUCGUUUCUGCAGGCGACUCAAAGUGUGCUGCGAAUAAACAGAUUCAUCAGCUGUUGUCCGAGGGCGAGGAGAAAAAAGUUGAAGACUCUUGAUAAAUCUAGAGAUGAUCCAUAUUGAUACAUGGUAUUUUGUUCUACUUUUUCAAUAUUGUGGCUCGAAAUACUCAGGAAUAAAGCUAAAUAAAGCUAAUCCAAAAGCUUAUUAAUAAACAUAUUUUGGUUUAAAGAGUUUAAUUUAUAUAAUCUUAGAUGCCCUUCUACGAUUUUCUUGUAUACUAAUGUCAUAUUGUACACUAACAUUGUUAAGAUCUAUUUGGACAUUCUUCAAGGGGCAUAAAGGGGUGGUACUGGUAACCAGUCUCAUUCAAACUCAAGCAGAUUACUUGUGAGUUCUCUUAGCUGAAACAGAAAGAAUAAGUAUUCUAAUUGUCCUCUAGCUAUCUUAUUUUGGAAAAAAUCUUGUUAAGGGGUCUUUUACACAAUGCAUAAGCCAAACUCACCUGGUAUGAUCAUCUAUAUAUUCUAUCUGUGGUCUUCUUAACUCGAAACCUAACGUGACGACUCUCAAUCUCAGGUACUCUUGGUGGAACUAUUGCGGGUAAAUGGAUCUAUUGAGUGGUGUUGACAUGGACAGAGUUAGUUUCGUAAGAUGUAUGGGCAGAUUAGUUUGUGGUAGUUUUCUUUUUUUGUUUUCUUUUGACUUUAUAUAGAAUUUUUUAGAGAACUUUAUUAGUAUUAUUGUACUUAGCAUUUUGAUUAUCUUCGUAUGAUAAUUUUAGUAAAAUGUUUGGAUGAUUGAUUAUUUAUAUAAUAUAUGUUUAGAAUUGUAGUAUUUGUUGUGUUUGAGGAUAUUGUAUAAUUUAUAUUUGGGAAAUUACAAAAAUAUGAAAAAAAAAACCAUUGUUGUAUUUC